GAGUAACUAUUAAUAUCAAAAAAAAUAUUUCCUCGUUUUUAUUUAUUUUUUUUAUUUUUCAUUUCAUAUGUCAUUUAAUAUUUUAAUUUUCAGAUCAAGAUUUGAAUUAUUCACUUAUAAUGUAACAUAUCAGUUAGUCCCACAUCAAAAAUAUGUAAAGACUAAUAUUGAUUUAUGAGAACUUGAUGAAUGUAUUAUUACUAACUUUUGCUU
rnacentral:lncRNA from 1 species